rnacentral:rRNA from 1 species
AGGGAGACAGGUGGUGCAUGGUUGUCGUCAGCUCGUGUCGUGAGAUGUUGGGUUUAAGUCCCGCAACGAGCGCAACCCCUACGUUUAGUUGCUAACAGGUGAAGCUGAGCACUCUAGACGAACUGCCGUUGACAAAACGGAGGAAGUGGGGAUGACGUCAAAUCAUCAUGCCCCUUAUGUUCUGGGCUACACACGUGCUACAAUGGCCGGUACAGACGGAGGCGAAGCCGCGAGGCGGAGCAAAUCCGAAAAAGCCGGUCUCAGUUCGGAUUGCAGGCUGCAAUUCGCCUGCAUGAAGUCGGAGUUGCUAGUAAUCGCGGAUCAGAAUGCCGCGGUGAAUGCGUUCCCGGGUCUU